UCAUAAACACGUAUAAAGUUAUGGGAAGCAGCAAAUAGAACGCUGUAUGAGCUGACUCUGAAAACGUAAAACACCAGGAAAAACCCAACCAGCUAUGGAAUGUAUUAGAGAACAAGCUACAUGUUGCUAGUUGAAAAAUAAAAAAGAAAAGAAUUUUCAGCUGCUCCAGGAAGAAACUGGGCAUUCACAUCAAAAGUUCUAGGAGUGAGUCAAAGGAGCAAAAUAACAGCAGAGGUACGCCAGCUUCUGAAAAUGGAACCGUACAUCUGUGCACCAUAUGUCUAUCCGAAAUAUGC
rnacentral:lncRNA from 1 species